CGUAGAGGCAGCUAUAUAAACCCAGCAGAAAGUAAAACAAAACGUAUAUUCGUGAAAGAAUUCACUGAUAAAAUGAAAAUCGCUAUUCUUUUAAUUGUGAUGGUAUCUCUCAGCCUGGCGACAGGUGAGAUUGAUAAAACUGGGGAAGUUGUGGAACAUAGUCGUUUAAGGCGAGCGCUUUCAGGGGCUGCAGCCAAGACUGAGUCCAAUCAAGGAGAGGGACCAGCUACAUGAGGACCAACAGAAAUAUGUUAGUAAUUUAUUCGUUGUGUUGCCUACUUCCGGGCUUAUCAACAUAUUAAUUACUUCCAGAGUGUUUCAUAACUUUAGCUGACGGAUGAACCCUUAUUAACUGCAUUAUCAAUACAACCAAGAAAGAACCACACUUAUUAUUUCAUAAAUUGCGACAAAAAUAUGAAGAUGGAACGUAGAACAUGAAUGGCCUACCGCUGUUAAAUGUCUAAGCAAACUGCUUGAUCAAUUUAUUAGGGGUAUGCCUCCGGGUGAAAAUCACAGAAAAUGUCUACAGACUAACAUCAAGACUAACAUUACAGUAUGGAACAUUUCAAAUGAGAUGGCACCUUCUAUACAAUAUCAAUAAUGUUCUCAAGUUUUUGAUACGAGAGAUAUUGUUCAACUUAAUUUCUACUUUCUGACAUAACCUUUUUACUUUUGUUCUAUUUUGAUUUUUGAUUUUUACUCAAAGUUGCAUUACAUGAGUCAGUUCUUAAAGUUAUGAUUCAUUCACAUUUUGAAUGUUACUCGUCAGAGAGUAAAAUGACUACCUGGUACAUAAAGUCUUAACGGACAAGUUCCGGUAGGAUGUAUCGCUGUUGUUAACAUACUGUAUUGUAUUUUUGUAAUUUAUUCUAUAUCUAUUUUAUAUAUCCAAUCAUGAACGUUCAUUUGCAACACCUGACUGUACAAUAUAUUACCUUAUUGGACGCAUGGGCGUACAAAAAGCCUGUAUUUUUUGGGUAUUUGACCGGUUCAAAAAGUCCCAUGUUAAACAUACAAUAAAGCCCGAAACGCAUGAAAAUGUUCCGAAUGUAAAUCGGGUGAAGUAAGCGCUCUAUGUACAGAGUUUGAUUAUGCGUCUUGAAAUCAGGAAGGCAGAAAUACAAUAUUCAGUGAAUCAUUUUUAAUUUAAACUAAAAUAAAAUAGAUAUAGAAUAAAAAGUUUAUUUAACAUUGAAAUGUACAAUACGAGAUAUAUUUGGACUCUUACCCAGCUGGGAAAGCCAUAUUGGACUCGCCUAGCGGCUCGUCCAAUAUGGUUUUCUCAGCUGGGUACUCGUCCAAAUAUAUCUUCGUAUUGUACAGAACAAUGUUAAAUAACCUGAUAGUAUUGUAUAAUGUGUAUUCGAAUUAUUUGUAUUCUUGUAUAUUAAAACACGGUUGUGAUGUAA